AGAACAACUUACCUCUUGUCAGUCACCUGCUUUUCUUUACUUGUCAUACUUUUAGCAUUUACAAAGUUUUAAAAAUGUGUUUAUCAUUUGGUAAUUAUUUUUAAACUUUAUUUGAAAAUAUAGACUGAGUUCUGAACAAAUUAUCCUUAAAUUUCUUCCUCUAGUAGUUACACUUUUCAGUAUCAGUGAAGUUUUAUGACGCCUCUAUUUUUCCUACCCACACAGCAUCUCAAGUUUGUCUUUACAGAAUAACUGGAAGUCCUAGCUUUAUCCUCUCUCUGCGUUUCUCUCUCACAGCCCCCUCCUCUUGGACUCUGCUCUUCCUCUCAGCACCGUAACCUUUUUAAUUUCCAGAUAGGUUUUGAAAACACCAUCUGUUCCCCUCUUAGGAUCCCUGGGGCAGAUGAUAGGUGAACCCCACAUCCCAGACACAUGGCCACCAAAGAUAUUCUUGCUUUUUUAAUGUUUAUCAAGUUCCUCCGCAGACAACAGAAACCAGAAAGUGAUCCGCUGCCAGCGACAGGGAGACACACAACUGGUCCUUAUUCUAAAGACCCGACCCAGCCUGGAAUGGGGCCCGGCGAGGAGUUCUUGCGCCGGCCGCGGGGACUGGGCGGUAAUGAGCCGCUAGUCUCGGAAGGUGGUGCUGUUGGGUGUGAGGGGAGAUCCGGCUUGCGCUGAAACAGCGAGCGGCGUGCAAGGAGGAAGCCGCGAUUUCCAAGGCGGAUUCCCUUCGCUGGGACACAACUCUUGAGAAUAAGACUUAUAAGGACUCUGAGAGUUUGAGGCAGAGGCAGAACGGCUCUGGGCUGAGUGAUGGGGAGGAUACCAGCACUCAGCGCGGGUGGCGGGCGCGGGGCCGAGCGCGCGCAUCCAGGGACGCCUUGGGGACGGGACGCGGAGAAAAGUUGCCGGGCGGAGAGAAAGGGUGGCGCUGGAAACCAAAUGGCUUUCAUCCCCUGGAGACAAAGAGGUGCCUUCUUUUGACAACAGCUGCCAGUGACACACACACCAUACGGCGGGGCCGGCGGGGGAGGGGAGCCCGGGAGGAGAGCGUCUAAGGCGGGGACCGGCACUGACUUUCAAUAAUGGGGUGGUUGCCAUGGUGACGGGCCAGGCAUCUAAAGGGGCGGCUGAAAGCACCCAUUGUUCUGGGGCCCGGCUGCUCGGGUUGUGCCUGUUCCUAAGAGACACCUUUAGACACCUCCCUCCGUGCAGGGGCGAGCUGCGGCCCGGGGCUGGGAGCGUCUCCGCGGGAGUUUCACACCAGGGCCCCAGGCCGCAGAUCGCAGCGCCGCCUUGGCUGCACGCGCGCUGCAUACGGAGGGCAGCGCCGCCUCCCACGCACUAUCCGCCCGAAAUCCGAGCGCGACGCGCGCCCGCCUGGGCCCAGACGCGCAGGCCGGGACACGCAGCUCCGCCUGCUCCCCGCUGUCCCGGGGAGACUUCGAAUAACAAUGCGGAGCAGGACCCGGUGACUCCACAAAUAACUCGCUGAGGUCUGGGGCGAGGGCACUCGGGAAAACCCCGCAGUCACUUUGCAGUCGUGCUGGAAGGAAAAGCAGAACGGAAUCACAGGAUAAAGAAGAUUAAAAGUAACAGGGCAGCGUUGCAAUGUUGCUUGUAAGAGCAAGCAGCUGGAAACAACCUAAAAGCCCGUCCCUGGGGGCUGGGUGAAUGAUAUGGGGCGCAUCCCUCUGAGGGAACACUAAGCUGCCAUUAAAGAGUACAGGGCAGCUGUAUUUGCUGAGACGUGGAAAUUUUCCGGUGUAUUCUAAGUAAUAAAGUGCAGAAGAGUGUGAGUAGGGCUGUGUGUAUGUGGUAUGUGUGUUUGCAUCUCUGGAAGUGGUUGCUUCUUAGGAUGGUCACUGUGGGACUAGGAGUGGAGGAGAGAAAGAAAACUUGCUUUUCACCGUACUAGAAUCUUCUGCACCUUUUGAAUUUUGCCGUUUAUACUAUGUCUUUACCUGUAAAGAAAAAAGAACUUUGAAAUAAAGUUGCAUUUGCUUGAACACUGUCUAAUGAGAUGUGCCACUCUCCAUAAAGCAUCUGAACUCAUUUUUAGUGCUUUAAUAAAUAUUAAUUUUUAAAAUAUAUAUGCACAAAUGCUAUUAGCCCACAGAUAUGUAAAGGUAGUGACAGUGGCAAGUUAGAGAUGAAAAGAUACACUUCUUUCCUGCCUUCCUGUGGUGCCGAGACGGACGGAGCCAGCUGUCAUUCAAGGAGCCUGCUGUAUAACCCAUCUAUUAUUAUAUCACAUUAAUCAUAGGGAUCUCACAUUAAACAAACAUGACAUUAGGGAAAUUUUCCUAGUUACAAAAUGGUAUAUAAUCAGUGAAAUGGACUAUUGAACACCAAAUGUCAUAGAUUUUUUUUUUUUUUUUGAGACGAGUCAAGCUCUGUUACCCAGGCUGCAGUGCAGUGGUGCGAUCUCGGCUCACUGCAAGCUCCGCCUCCCUGGUUCAAGUGAUUUUGCUGCCUCAGCCUCCGGAGUAGCUGGGACUACAGGCACCCGCCACCACGCCCAGCUAAUUUUUUUUUUUUUUGUAUUUUUAGUAGAGAUGUGGUUUCACCAUGUUGGUCAGUCUGAUCUCGAACCCCUGACCUCAGGUGAUCUACCUACCUUGACCCCGCAAAGUGCUGGGAUUACAGGUGGGAGCCACCGAGCCUGGCCAUGGAUGAUCUUUCUACACAGAUAAAAAUAAUCAUUACUUAGCAAUGACUUCACUGACUAAUGAUAGUAAGUUAACAUCUAUUGAGAAUUUACUGUGUGCCUUAUUGAGCACUGGGUUUAG
rnacentral:lncRNA from 10 species